rnacentral:rRNA from 1 species
AGACGUAGGGCGCGAGCGUUAUCCGGAUUUAUUGGGCGUAAAGGGCUCGUAGGCGGUUAUGUAAGUCGGGUGUGAAAACUUGGGGCUUAACCCUGAGAUGCCAUCCGAUACUGCAUUGACUAGAGUUCGGUAGAGGAGUGUGGAAUUCCUAGUGUAGCGGUGAAAUGCGCAGAUAUUAGGAGGAACACCUAUUGCGAAGGCAGCACUCUGGGCCGAUACUGACGCUGAGGAGCGAAAGCGUGGGUAGCAAACAGAAGUAGAAACCCCGGUAGUCC